rnacentral:rRNA from 1 species
UCAUCCCGACUUACCAAACCGAUGCAGACUCCGAAUACCAAUGAGUACUAUCCGGGAGACAGACUGCGGGUGCUAACGUCCGUAGUCAAGAGGAAAACAAUCCAGACCGCCAGCUAAGGCCCCAAAAUUAUAGUUAAGUGGGAAACGAUGUGGGAAGGCAUAGACUGCUAGGAAGUUGGCUUAGAAGCAGCCACCCUUUAAAGAAAGCGUAAUAGCUCACUAGUCGAGUCGGCCUGCGCGGAAGAUGUAACGGGGCUAAAACUAUAUGCCGAAGCUGCGGAUUUGCAAUUUAUUGCAAGUGGUAGGGGAGCGUUCUGUAAGCCGAUGAAGGUGUAUUGAGAAGUAUGCUGGAGGUAUCAGAAGUGCGAAUGCUGACGUGAGUAACGACAAUGCGAGUGAAAAACUCGCACGCUGAAAGACCAAGGGUUCCAGUCCAACGUUAAUCGGGGCUGGGUGAGUCGACCCCUAAGGCGAGGCCGAGAGGCGUAGUCGAUGGGAAAUUGGUUAAUAUUCCAAUACUUCUAUGUAAUGCGAUGAGAGGACGGAGAAGGUUAAGUCAGCCUGGCGUUGGUUGUCCAGGUGGAAGGUUGUAGGCAUGUAUCUUAGGCAAAUCCGGGGUACUGUAUGCUGAGAACUGAUAGCAAGCUGUACUUGUACAGUGAAGUGGCUGAUACCAUGCUUCCAGGAAAAGUCUCUAAGCUUCAGCUACAUAGGAAUCGUACCCGAAACCGACACAGGUGGUCAGGUCGAGUAGACCAAAGCGCUUGAGAGAACUCUGCUGAAGGAACUAGGCAAAAUGGUACCGUAACUUCGGGAGAAGGUACGCUGCCGACGGUGAUAGGAUUUACUCCUUGAGCUAUUGGCAGCCACAGAAACCAGGCCCCUGCAACUGUUUAUUAAAAACAUAGCACUCUGCAAACACGAAAGUGGACGUAUAGGGUGUGAUGCCUGCCCGGUGCUGGAAGGUUAAUUGAUGGGGUUAGCGUAAGCGAAGCUCUUGAUCGAAGCCCCAGUAAACGGCGCCCGUAACGAUAACGGUCCUAAGGUAGCGAAAUUCCUUGUCGGGUAAGUUCCGACCUGCACGAAUGGCAUAAUGAUGGGGGCGCUGUCUCCAGCAGAGACUCAGUGAAAUCGAAUUCGCCGUGAAGAUGCGGUGUACCCGCGGCUAGACGGAAAGACCCCGUGAACCUUUACUGCAGCUUGACAUUGAACUUUGAUCUUACUUGUGUAGGAUAGGUGUGAGGCUUUGAAACU